UACGUAGGGUGCGGGCGUAAUCGGAAUUACUGGGCGUAAAGCGUGCGCAGGCGGCCUCUUAAGUCAGAUGUGAAAUCCCCCGGGCUUAACCUGGGAACUGCGUUUGAAACUGGGAGGCUAGAGUGUGGAAGAGGGGGGGUGGAAUUCCAGGUGUAGCAGUGAAAUGCGUAGAGAUCUGGAGGAACACCGAUGGCGAAGGCAGCCCCCCUGGGCUAACACUGACGCUCAUGCACGAAAGCGUGGGGGAGCAAACAAGG
rnacentral:rRNA from 1 species